AACACAAUCAAGGCUAUUGACACAUCCAUAGAGGGUGAAGAUGCUUUCUUCUUAAAGACCUAUACGGAUGCUAAGAGAAGAGCCCAGUGCACACU